ensembl:lncRNA
UCAGACCUGUCAUUGGCAGGGCUGACCGAGCAGCAAUGUGCAAGUCCAUGGCAGGUGGGGACAGAAGUGGUGCAACCAGUCUGCUCAGAGCCAGCGAGGCCAGCAAAACGAAGUCCUAGUUGAGAACUCUAUUCCAGGCCUGCUGGACUUGAGACAGGGCUGAUCUCAGACUUGUGUGCAGAGAAAAUGACCACCAUUACAAAAUUGGACAGCACAUGAUCGAGUACCUGUUUUUGCGCAUAAACCUUCUCCCUGUUGGUGGCUUGGGUCCCUGGGCCAUGCUGGCCUCCUGGCUAGUCCAGCAAGAAGGACUCGCCCUUGGCCGUGUGACAUACCCACAUCUGCAAACUGAUGGAUGGGAAAGUCUGAGGACACUUUCUUCUCUCUGUUGUCUACUUAUUUGGGGCCACUUCUAGGCUUUACCAUUUUUCCAACUGUGAUGGAAAAAAUGACAAAAGCUAAGCUGGUAGAAAAUCAAUUUAAUACUGUCAGUUAUGUUAUUUAAGAAUAAAUACAAGAACCCAUCUACUGUCAUUAUUUUGGGCUUUUUUUUUUGGUACUGGGGAUCAAACUCGGAAACUUGUGCUUGUGCAGCAGGCGGCAAAACCGCUGAGCUAAAUACCUGGCCCUAUUUUGGGCUUUUAAAUAGUUCUUUCCCUGGUUAGCGCUCAGUGCCCAGCAUUUCCGUCAUUAUUCAGCCACACAUAGUAUUACGAUAGUAAAGGUGUUAUGCAACUUAGUCAUCUAAAAAAAAUCUGAACAACUUGGUCAGACUUUUUUUUUUUGGUUUUUUUUGUAAUGCUGGAGAUUGAAUUCUGAGCUACAUCCUCAGCCUUAUUUAUUUAUUUAUUUUUUAAAUUUUAAGACAGAGUAUCUUAGUUACUUUUCAUAUCGCUGAGACAAAAUACCCAACACCCUUAAGGGAGAAAAGGUUUACUUAGCAAACAGUUUAUAGAGGUUUCAGUCCAUAACUAGCUGGCUCCAAGGGAGGGUGGCACAGCAGACAGGCAUCACAGAGGAGAAACAGUCCAUGGCAGGCAGGCAGGAAGGCAGCAAAGCAACAAGGGAGGACCACAGUUCUUUUUAUCCCUUAUAUCUUUUCCAGGCUGCUUAGGAUGGGUAGCACUCAUACCUUUAAUGCUAGUGCCCUUGAGCCUAGCAUUGCACCAUGAAUCAAUCCCAGCAUCACACACCCUAGAUCCAGCCACCUCUGAAAAGCCCCACCUAUGAUGACAUGAGGCUUUGGAGGACAGCUAGACACAAGCUCUGACAUGGCGUCUCACUAAGUUGCUCAGACUAGCCUGGAACUUUCAAUCCUCCCGUCUCAGCUUCCUGGGUAACUGGGACUACUGGCAGUAAUAUUAUUUUAUAGGUUAGUUGAUCGCAUUGACUGACCAAAUCAGAGCCCCAAAGAAUGCUACAAAAGACGAAGCACACUUUGUUCUGGCUGGGGGAAGGAAGGGAGAGCCUGUAACACAGCUGGGUCACAGGAAAUCAACAUUGCAAGGUAGAUGCUCUGAAUUACUGUCAGCUCCAGAACAACCAGCUUACUUGCCACUGACCUGAGUACUCAAAUUUGAACCCUCUCUCACAGUCAUGGACAAGACUGGGCUCUGUGGAGUUCGUCUGCCUCUUGGUGUCCUGCCCCAGCCUGCUGUCCGAGUGCUGGGCUCCCAGUGGGCACUGCAGGUCAGUGACAGGGCGCAUCAUGGGAGUGCCUAGGAAGAUGCGUGAGCCUGGGGCUUCUCAUCUCCCGCUGGAAAAAAAAGCUACUACGCAGUGAUCAAAGCUCUUUCGGAAGGGGAAAUUGUCACCACAGUCGUCACGUGCCUGCCCUGCCCGAUGCAGAUGGCAGAAUUUAAUAAUCUCGAGCGACUCUGUGUAGGCCCAGCUCCCAGCAGAAGCGUCUGUUGUGGAUCGAGGAGAAGGAGUUUGGUAACAUUUUGCCCUUGGGGGUUGGUGUGAAGGGAAAUAUCACGGAAGUCUUUUUUAGCUUUGACUUCUGUGAUUCUAUGGAAACAAGGCAGCAGGAGUGGGAAUCCAGUGAGAGAGAAGAGCUAAGGCAGCUCGACUGGCUUUGAGGCUGAAGAAGGGAGGGAGAGAGGCAGAGGAACAAUAGGCUUUAUUGGGGACUCUCCUAGGCCACGCACUUUCAUCUCUGGGAUCUGAAGCAGGAACUUUUCAUUGGGCUGUUGGUUUGGGUCCGAGCAGGAGAGUUAUUGGUAGAGUUUGCAGAAGGGCCCUGGGCGGGAGAGAGAAAGGACGUCUGUGGUCCUAUUGUCUGGGCACCUCUGUUAAUAACACUUGAGCGUUUCCCCGCCCCACUUAGGACAAUGGGGCCAGAAGACAAACUUUAAUUCGAAUGGUGUUUUCUGUGUGCUGUAAUAAUGUGGUGGGAAACCUCAAAGGCUCAGGAAUUCCUUGCUGGGAUUGUGUGCGUGCGAAUCCCGAGCGUUAAGGCGCUGGCCCGUCUCCAUCUGCGACGGACGCCGAACGGCUGAGUCGAGCCGCGCUGAGCUCGCUCGUGGCAGAUGGCCAGACGGCUCUCGGAGUUCACAGCAUGUAUAUGGAUAUUUACAUAUACACAAACAUGCCCGCGGCAGCUGUCUGCCUGCCUCUCCCCGGCGAAAUGGGAGACGAGGUCCGGAGGUCAGCGGCCCCGGGCCACUGCUACUGUUCUUCCUGCGGUCCUGGGACAGUGACCAUCAAGGUGGAGACAGCGCAAGGCCAGCGUCUCCGCGGCCCCUGUUUACAAUCCUACUCUGAGCGUCUGAGAAGCCAUCUUUCACUUUUAGUUAUUUAUUCUCAUUCGAGGGACUGGGGAUUGAACACGGAGCCUUGUGUAUGUUAGACAAAUGCUACACCCUGACCCAGCCCAGCGUGCGUCACUCUUGGUUGGCAAUAAAUCGCACAGUAGGGGAGACAGACUGGAGAUGAGAGAGUCUAGUGCGAAAGGACGCUUAUUGAUCUCAGUGAAUUUGAGACUCCCAAGAACAUGGCCAGAUGCUGGGCCCAGCACCACCCUGGUUUGAUCUGAGGUUGGCUUUGUCUCCCUUACAUUCAUCUCCUUUCUUCCACACCGGCGGAGUUUGAUUUUAAAUUAUACGAUUAAAAAAUAAUACGUGACAAGGAGCUGUGGAGGAGAGGGACCUUUACCUAGGAUUGAAUAAAAAUGAGACAAAUUGACAAGAAUUUUGCCUAUAAAUGUAAUAUAAUCCACAUAGAUUUUGUGGUAGGAAAGAGUUUAAAGAUGGUUAGCAACCACUUGCUUGUCGAUGUCCUCCUCAACAAGCAUUUCAAAGCUGAUCAAGGAUGCUUACCUGGCAGAGUUCCUUUGGGGACUUCGCCGUGUGGAGGUGAUCACCCGGAUGCAGGGUCAGGGUACAGACACUGGCAUCUGGAAAUCUCUACUCAAUGAAUGCUGAACACGCUACCAUUUUUCCAAGCACACACAUAAUGUGCUGUAGUCUUUAGAUUUGUCUUUUCCCCUUGAGACUCUGAGUCACCCUCCACAUCUGGGAAUCCUGAGUAUUUAGUGAGUCCUAAGAACUCAGCUCUACUUCCAAAGCACAUGCAGAGGAAAAGCUGGAGAGUCCUAUUCAUUGCUCAGCACAACUGCUUCUGUGCCCAGGAGGAUGUCAUUGUCACCUGGAGGGGUGGCCAUGGCUGACUGGGCGUGACUCUUCUCUGCAGAGAAAGAGGGGCACCCAGCCUGCCUCUCCCGACUAUGCCCAAGUGAUAGAUCCUGAAUUACUCAGGCCCUAAGAUUACUGUCUGGCUCACAGGCACAUUCCCAGGGAUUUGUUCCAAGUGCUGCCUGUGCUAGCCAGGUGCAUCUAGGGUGUAAGGGUUGGGUGACGGCCUUUAGCAUCAUGCCCCUACUUUGCUGGGAGCAGUCCCUCCACAUGAACCUCAGGCCUCAACUGAUCACUGCCCACCAGUGCACAUUCUCUCUCCUUGCAAGGAAAUUUCCUGAUGGGGUCUAGACUCUCAACCAAGAGCCUCCUAGCCCAUGUGAACUGGUUCCCUGAUUUUCUGCAUUGGGAAGGCAGGGCCUAGGCUUCCCCUGGAAAUUGGCAUGUGCCCCCUUAGAUCUCCUCCCACCAAAGGGUACCUGGGAAGCCUUCGUGGGCCACAAAAGUAUCUCUUCUGGAUUUUUCUCAGCCUUUUGGGCACCCACCAGGUUUACAAUUGCUUGUGAAGCAGCAGCUCAAGCCAUUCCAUUCAUAGGAGUGAAAACACAGUUUCAUAUUUAUCAUUGGCUAUGCCGAGGGGAAGAGAGGUGGCCGAAUAUCCCUUUAAACACAUUUCCUUUCUCAGUUCCCUGUCCUGGGCAUAAAGAACAAAGUAGAACCACGCUAAUGAGAAACGGCAUUUGGAGAGGACUGUCUUUGAGCUUGUCCACUGCGUCCCGAAAUUCUACGCAGGCAGACGGCUCACCCUUAGCUGAGCAGGCUCCUUUCUCCUGGUGCACACCCGCCAGCCCUCACCAUCUGUCACCGUCCUGUCCUGCCAUCUCCAGGGUCGGCUUAAAUCACUGCUGUCUUGGGGGAGCCAUACGAAGCCUUUUGUCUCCCAUGAACUGGUCACGGCGCCUCUCUUUGCCCCUCUUAUGCUCGCCACUUAUUUGUGAGAUAAAUGUCAACUCUGUUCUUGUCUAGACACACUGGAAUAUACUUUCCUUGAAGAGAGAGCAUUGUUUGGCUCACCAAGUCCUCCCACCUGGCCUGAAUCAUACACCGUGCCUCUCACAGCUGGUGUCCAACAAAUGUUUGACUCAGUGAGCCGAGGGCAGAGCAGGGAGCAGUCAUAGGCACCAGAAAGGGAUCAUUGCUGUCUUCUGAGGGGACAUAGAGCAGCCUGGAGUCUCUCGAGCUGGUACCACAUCUGGCUUACUGGAGCCAACAUCAUGGAGGGACCCAGGAGCUGGAAGUCCUCUUCUUGACAAUAAUACCCUAUAUGGACAUGGGAAAGCAAGUCACAGUUGCAAUAACUACAACUGUAAUACCUACCAUGUCAGGGAUUUUAUUUCCAUAGCCUGAUUUUAUCCACCAAAAAAGGCUGAUCAGUAAGUAUUUCUAUUUCUGACUUUCAGAUGAAAUAGCUUAGAAUUUAUAGGUUGUAACUGCAGACCUGGGAUUC